rnacentral:tRNA from 1 species
GUAAGUAUAGUUUAACCAAAAUAUUAGAUUGUGAUUCUAAAGACGGGGGUUAAAACCCCCUUACUCACC